rnacentral:lncRNA from 7 species
GUAUUAUCUGGUUCCAGACUUCUCAUGGUUCUUAUCAACAUGGUUCACAAUUUGUUUACCUUCGUUCACGUUGUUUGCAUUGCUUAUCUAACGAAACACCUGUUUUGCCCUUUACUAUGUUGUAGUAUGAUACUUGUACAUGCAUCAUUUUUUAUAUUUAUCCCCACAUAUUGCAAUUCGCUCGAUUUUUUAUUUUAGUAUCAACCCUAGAAUUAUGGUUAAGGCUGUAUCAUAUCCUUC